GGUUUUAUGGGGUAGUGGUUAGCCCAUGAGAUUUUGAGGAGAUCUGUUGCAUAGAUUAACGGAGUUCUUGGGUUUCUCAUGACCCCGGUUCGAAUCCGGGUAAGACCU